CUCAGAUUGAACGCUGGCGGCUGCUUUACACAUGCAAGUCGAACGGCAGCGCGGGGCAACCUGGCGGCGAGUGGCGAACGGGUGAGUAAUACAUCGGAACGUACCCAGAAGUGGGGGAUAACGUAGCGAAAGUUACGCUAAUACCGCAUACGUUCUACGGAAGAAAGUGGGGGACCUUCGGGCCUCAUGCUUUUGGAGCGGCCGAUGUCUGAUUAGCUAGUUGGUAGGGUAAAGGCCUACCAAGGCGACGAUCAGUAGCUGGUCUGAGAGGACGACCAGCCACACUGGGACUGAGACACGGCCCAGACUCCUACGGGAGGCAGCAGUGGGGAAUUUUGGACAAUGGGCGCAAGCCUGAUCCAGCAAUGCCGCGUGAGUGAAGAAGGCCUUCGGGUUGUAAAGCUCUUUUGUCAGGGAAGAAACGGCUGAGGAUAAUACCUUCGGCUAAUGACGGUACCUGAAGAAUAAGCACCGGCUAACUACGUGCCAGCAGCCGCGGUAAUACGUAGGGUGCAAGCGUUAAUCGGAAUUACUGGGCGUAAAGCGUGCGCAGGCGGUUUUGUAAGUCUGACGUGAAAGCCCCGGGCUCAACCUGGGAAUUGCGUUGGAGACUGCAAGGCUUGAAUCUGGCAGAGGGGGGUAGAAUUCCACGUGUAGCAGUGAAAUGCGUAGAGAUGUGGAGGAACACCGAUGGCGAAGGCAGCCCCCUGGGUCAAGAUUGACGCUCAUGCACGAAAGCGUGGGGAGCAAACAGGAUUAGAUACCCUGGGUAGUCCACGCCCUAAACGAUGUCUACUAGUUGUCGGGUUUUAAUUAACUUGGUAACGCAGCUAACGCGUGAAGUAGACCGCUGGGGGAGUACGGUCGCAAGAUUAAAACUC
rnacentral:rRNA from 1 species